rnacentral:rRNA from 1 species
UACGAAGGGGGCUAGCGUUGUUCGGAAUUACUGGGCGUAAAGGGCGCGUAGGCUGUGCUGUAAGUCAGGCGUGAAAUCCCCGGGCUCAACCUGGGAAUUGCGCAUGAUACUGCGGCGCUUGAAGACGGGAGAGGAUGGCGGAAUUCCCAGUGUAGAGGUGAAAUUCGUAGAUAUUGGGAAGAACACCGGUGGCGAAGGCGGCCAUCUGGCCCGUAAUUGACGCUGAGGCGCGAAAGCGUGGGGAGCAAACAGG